rnacentral:lncRNA from 1 species
ACGUUCUAGGAAGCAGCAUGGACUAAACAAUCAAAAGAUAUCUUCACUGGGUGCCCCCAAAUUCCUAUGAAGCACAGAAAUGAGAUAUCUGGAAAUAAAAAGUAUUAGCACACAUUGAGACUCUAUGCAGAGGACAAAGGAGCAAUGCAAGAGUCCAAAUAUGAUAAAGAAGUUUAAUGUUUUCUGAAAGUUUAAAAGCCAAAACACCUUAACUUUGAUGGAGCCACGAAAGUCAGGGAAUGUAUCUUUUAAAAUCUUUUGAUGAGAUUCAGCAACUCCCUAGACAAGGAUACUUUACAUCUUAUGGAUGUCUUGAAUCAUAAGUAUAUCUUUUUCUGCUAGUUGUCCAUGUGUGGAUGGUACACCCUCUUAGUGCUUUGUCUAUACUAAUUUUUGUAUCAGAAAACAUAUCUUCAUUUGUGAAGGCCUCGGGGUGAUACAUCCAAAACUGUUCUGUUCUGAUUCAUGCAGGAUUGUGACUGAUUGCAACCUCUGAAAACUCAGCGUCCAUCAUGAUGAUUUCUUUUAUUUCACUAUUUGCUAUGUCGAUAGUGUUGGCUACUUGUUUUUUGUUGACAGGCUCUGUAUAAGAUAUAAAUGUCCGACGGCU